CUCCACAUUGCAGUUAAAUCUUCUAGUGCCUCUCCCGAGAAUAGGUUCUUGAUCUGACCCUGUUAGUGACAAAUAUAAACAUUUUAUGUAAAUAUUGCCUUUUUACAGAAAAGGGACAGGCUCUUUGCACCAAAACGUUAAAUUAAGAGACAUAAGAAUUGCCUGUAAGAGUGCUUUGAUUGGCUGGCUUUUCACCAGCGAGAAUUGACAAAAAUGAUGGACCGCUGUCGUCAACAUUCUCCACUCGCUUUACACUGUAGUAGUGAUAGUGAUCUAACUGGGACUGACACUCUGGACUGUCUUCUGAAUGCAUUCUGGCAGAAGCGAACCAGCAGAGCCUACUAAUGGUCAACAAUGAAGACCUAUCUCACUCUUUUGUGCCUACAAAGGUAAAGGUUUCCAAACUCUACGUUGCAGAUGACAGCUUUCAAUAUCCGUGUAAUAGACCCAUUGCAAUCCCCGGCACAAUCAUUCAGGGACUUAGACCGCAAUAUGACAGAUUCUCUAAAGCAGCAAUGCUAUAAGGAGGGAGGUGAGCAGACACAGGAAUGGAGAAUGGGUAAGAUAAGACAAGGAAUUAGUGGGAGAAACACUUAAAAAGUGCUAGGGGAUAAAGAGACUCACAGAGGGCAGGGAAAGUGACAAAGAUGCAAAGGGAAAGGGAGGAAGAGACACAAACAAUACUGGGGAAGGGGAGAAAGACACAAAGGGGCUGGGCGAAGUAAGAGACACACAAAGAGCCUAUGGGAAUUACUAGCCCCAAACAAAAAAUGAGGUAAAAAAAUUCAACAUGGAUAUUCAGAGUUCAUGCAUGUUUCUGUGUGUUGGGGGGACAACAAAAUUCAUCUUCGCCUGUGUAGCCAUAAAUCCUUACACCGGCCUUGCUAACGUUUGGUGGAAGCACCUAUUGUCCAUACGCAGAUGUUGAUUACACCACUCCAUAGAAACUGUGACGAUACCCCGGAUAAAGCAUUGUAUAUCAAAGAAACUCCCAUAAACUGGCUGUGGCAAAACUAGCCACUUGGAACUGUAUUGGUAUUAAUGUAUUGCUGUUGCUUUAAGCAUGUAGAACCAAGCGUAUACCUAUUGCUGUAUUUCGGCCGAACAAGAGCAUUCGUAUGCUGGCGGCAUAAAGCACCCAGCAUUCAUACAGUAGUUUCACGAACAGUGAAUUUCAACACUGUUUGUGAAACGAACAAACUACCGAAUGGGAGACCACACACAGAAGGU